rnacentral:rRNA from 1 species
GACGUAGGGCGCGAGCGUUGUCCGGAUUUAUUGGGCGUAAAGAGCUCGUAGGCGGUUUGUCGCGUCUGCCGUGAAAAUCCGAGGCUCAACCUCGGACUUGCGGUGGGUACGGGCAGACUAGAGUGUGGUAGGGGAGACUGGAAUUCCUGGUGUAGCGGUGAAAUGCGCAGAUAUCAGGAGGAACACCGAUGGCGAAGGCAGGUCUCUGGGCCACUACUGACGCUGAGAAGCGAAAGCGUGGGGAGCGAACAGG